CCCUUAGAUGUUCUGGGCCGCACGCGCGCUACACUGAUACGUUCAGCGAGUAUAUAACCUUGAUUGGAAAGUCUGGGUAAUCUUUUGAAUGCGUAUCGUGCUAGGGAUAGAUUAUUGCAAUUAUUAAUCUUGAACGAGGAAUUCCUAGUAAACGCAAGUCAUCAGCUUGCAUUGAUUACGUCCCUGCCCUUUGUACACACCGCCUGUCGCACAAACCGAUUGAAUGAUUCGGUGAAAAUUUUGGACAUCGAGAGUGGUGAUUAAUUUCGCUGCUCUUAAAUGGAAAGAAUUUAAACCUAAUUAUUUAGAGGAUUGUGAAGUCAUAACA
rnacentral:rRNA from 1 species